UACAGAGGUCCCAAGCGUUGUUCGGAUUUACUGGGCGUAAAGGGUGCGUAGGCGGCGAGGUAAGUUUGAUGUGAAAUCUCCGAGCUCAACUCGGAAAUGGCAUUGAAUACUAUCCCGCUUGAGGGUCGGAGGGGAGACUGGAAUUCUCGGUGUAGCAGUGAAAUGCGUAGAUAUCAGGAGGAACACCCGUGGCGAAAGCGGCUCUCUGGGACGGUACUGACGCUGAGACGCGAAAGCGUGGGGAGCAAACAGG
rnacentral:rRNA from 1 species